rnacentral:rRNA from 1 species
AUGGACAUGGACACAAUCACACGCACAAAGGUGCCAGCACGCAUGCAUGCCGCUAGGCUACUAGCGGCAGUGGGUGGUGCAGAAGCAGCGGCGGCGGGCGCCGCGGCACUUGCCGCCGGGGAAGCCCUCGGUCCUGCAGACGUUGGCGCAGUUGUGGCCGCGCAGGCAGAGGCCCGCGAACCUGUGGCUCAGCGACUCGCACUUCCGAGCCUCCGCCACCGCCACCGGGCCUCCCAUCUCCCCCGUGGCCGCGAGCAGCAGCACCAGCACGAGCGCGGCGGAGACAGCUUGCGUGGAGCCUCCAUCGAUGGCUGCUUGUUCGUUACGAGUUAA